GACAGAGGGGACUAGCGUUGUUCGGAAUCACUGGGCGUAAAGGGCGCGUAGGCGGCUAUGUAAGUCAGAGGUGAAAGCCUGGAGCUCAACUUCAGAAUUGCCUUUGAUACUGCAUAGCUAGAGUUUUUGAGAGGAUAGUGGAAUUCCUAGUGUAGAGGUGAAAUUCGUAGAUAUUAGGAGGAACACCAGUUGCGAAGGCGGCUAUCUGGCAAAAUACUGACGCUGAGGCGCGAAAGCGUGGGGAUCAAACAGG
rnacentral:rRNA from 1 species